GCAUGAUUCUAUUGAAUGAAGAGCUCUUGAGCAUGUUUGUCCCAGCUCAAGGACUAAGCCCUCAAGGGUAAGUACUGAACGAGAAGGAUUCUGAACAAUGCUGCUAUAUUCUUUCACUUGGUCAGAUGCCAGUGAAUGCUCCAGUCCCUUCUUGAUAGCUAAUUGCACAGGGCCAUUUCUUACAGAGUACAGUGGUACCACAGGUUAAGAACUUAAUUUGUUCCGGAGGUCCGUUCUUAACCUGAAACUGUUCUUAACCUGAGGUACCACUUUAGCUAAUGGGGCCUCCCGCUGCUGCCACACCGCCGUGCAAUUUCUGUUCUCAUCCUGAGGUAAAGUUCUUAACCCGAGGUACUAUUUCUGGGUUAGUGGAGUCUGUAACAUGAAGCAUCUGUAACCUGAAGAGUGUGUAACCCAAGGUACCACUGUAUAUAUACAUUGUGGGAGUUUCUGUGUGAAACUGUGAAUGGGCGUGAGUCAGAUAUUUUUGAAAAAUAGCAAUAUAUUGAAAUCAUUGGAGGCGUUUAUCAGCUUUCCUAGAUUGGGAGUGGGGAACUAUGGUCUGGUGGGCCUUCCCCAAGCCCAAAGGCCAACUAUGGAUAGGUUGGUGGAAGCACUGACAUAUCAGUCACCUGAUGUCAUGAUGAUGUCAGGAACCUGAUAGGUGUGAGUUUCCAACCCUUGUCAAAGUUGACCUCUGUGGUGGGGGAAGGUUCUCUUUCAACAGCUGACUCUCUCAUAACACUAAGUCUUGUGGGCAUCCAGUGAGGAUGAAUGUUGGAAGAUUCAGUUCAGAUAAAAGAAAGUGCUUUCCUCCCAGCCAUCAGUUAAAUUAUGUAACUUGCUCCCAGGGGAAGCAACGAUAGCCACCAACCUAGAUAGCUUUAAGAGGGUUAGACAAAUGUUAGUUGCUGGAAACCACAGGAGGGGAAAGGGCUCUUGUGCUUGGGUCCUGUUUACAGAUUUGCCAUGAGCAUUUGGUUGGCCACUGUGAGAACAAGAUGCUGGACUAGAUGGGCCAUUGGUCUGACCCAGCAGAUUCUUCUUAAAUUCUUCUUACGUCUUCACAUACUCCCAAACUGGUGAGUAUUCGAUUGCAUCUUAAAUCCCCUUGAAUUCUGAAGGACUUUCUUCUGAGUAAGAAUGCUUAGGAUCACACUGCGCAAGAGUCAAUACUCUUGGAAACAGCUUUGUAACUUAAACAUCUAGUUGCCAUGGAGAUUUUUUAUCUCUUCUUUGUGAAGCCAAGCAUAUAUCAGGAGUGGCUGGUGCAAAAUGUAGGAGUUGCUGAUGGGCGGAAGGGAGAUGUUAGAGCCAAAGUUAAGCAUUCUAUAAUCCAGCUGAUUUGGAGUGAGUGAAACAUGUCCCGUUGUAAUCAACAGGACUUAAGAGUGCUUAACUUUGACUGCAUUGUAUAUGAAGCAAGAACAAGGCUGAACUGAGAAAGUGAAAUUUAGACUCUGGAGCAAAGCUGGAAAAGUAUGCGGUGUUUGUUUAAAGAAUUAUGUGGUGUUUCAAGUCUCGUUGAAGAUAUCAAACAAUGCAGCAGAAAACUGGCAGCAAUUCAAGCAGGUGUUUGACUUGUUCAUGAAAGCAUGUGGUCGUAAUGGGAAAAAUGUGUACAAAAAUAUGGUUGUAUUUUAAACUGUAGCUGGCCCUGCAAGAUGUAAUUGCUUUGAGAUCAUUUUCACGAGGCUGCUAAGAAUUUGUAUUGGCAUGUUUGCGUGUGUAGCUUUUGGUACAGACUGUUCUUGUAAGCCCUUAUGUGUUGUUGGUGC